rnacentral:rRNA from 1 species
GAAGUACUUUCAGUCGUGAGGAAGGCGGCGUCGUUAAUAGCGGCGUUGUUUGACGUUAGCGACAGAAGAAGCACCGGCUAACUCCGUGCCAGCAGCCGCGGUAAUACGGAGGGUGCGAGCGUUAAUCGGAAUUACUGGGCGUAAAGCGCAUGCAGUGGUUUGUUAAGUCAGAUGUGAAAGCCCGGGGCUCAACCUCGGAAUUGCAUUUGAAACUAGGCAGACUAGAGUACUGUAGAGGGGGGUAGGAAUUUCAGGUGUAGCGGUGAAAUGCGUAGAGAUCUGAAGGAAUACCGGUGGCGAAGGCGGCCCCCUCGGACAGAUACUGACACUCAGAUGCGAAAGCGUGGGGAGCAAACAGGAUUAGAUACCCUGGUAG